GACCAGACCCGUGUUCUGCAUCAGAUUUAUCUCCAACGGAUGAGCCGCCACCCUCAAGCUCGCCGGCUUGCUGCUGUCUACCCCGUCGCUGACCUGCAGUUCCAGUUUCGCGUUCGGUUUCGCUGUAAAUGGUGGACGUUCGCCCGCUGUGUAAUAUUUAAACGGAGGCAACUCGAGCUCCUCCGCGAUCUUGAACACCGAAGGGGUCGACGAGCGAAUUUUUACGGCGAGAGGAAUUAUUUCAUUCAAGAAGAUUGAAGCACACCGAGCGGUUAAUUAAGAGCAACGACUUGGGAGCGACUUAAAUCGAUUUCGUUACGACUCGACUGGCGCCUCCGUCGAAGACUGGGGACCACAAUUUCUUCAAUUCUCGAUUAAUUGAUUUACCCCAGGGAGGAGGGUCGCGCGGACCAGACGCAGCACGGUGGUCGAUAUCUCGAGCAACGGUGGAUCAUUAACGGGCGUCACGUUGACGUGGAGCGGAAACAUUAGUCGUCCUUGGAGGUAGCCCGGCAACGUGUAACCAGUUCCUGCCACGAGUGUCACUUCCACGAUCAUACUGUCCUCCGUGGUCUCGCCCCCGUCGUGCAUGUAUUGUAUCUGGCAGAAAUUUGAUCGCAAUAAUGAGACAAUGUGCCAUACGGUAAACAAUGUUUCUAGGGACCUAUGAAUAUGCAUGCCUUAAAGGUGAACGCGUCGAAACGCCCUCGAACGCGACAGUCUCGAACGAAGAUUGAACAACGGCGGUACCAGCUCAGAAAUCUACUUUUUAGAGGACACCUAAAGCAGUUAAUGCCCCGACCCAGACCAGUUUUCGACGAAGCGUUUGGAAGUACUAUUUUUUAAUAUCGCGGAUCUCGUACGACUGGCCUUGCGAAUCACGGUCCGUUCGUAAUUAAAAUUAAUUAAAGCAACGGAGGCGGUCUUAUAAAUCGGCGAUUAGCAUACCGGAUCGACGUGACUUGGCGCCCCCCUCGGGAUUUCCCCGUUCAGGGGGGUGGUUUCGUACGGGGGAAAAGAAAUAACCCGCGGUGGUCCAGCGACAGGGUUCCAUUCGUGGGUGGCGUUACCAAGGUGAAGAUAACACCGUCCUCUUCCACCCCAUAUUUAGCUAUGUCCAACACCAUGGCAAUGUUAUCGCUCGUCACCAGCACGUGCUCCCCCUCGGAUACCAGCAGCGGUCUCACUGAGAGAAUCUCCAGGUUCACGGAAUUCCCUGGAAGAGGGUGUCCUAUGUAAAGAAGAGAGAAGUUAAGCUUGAUCGGAUGCUGUUAGCGGGGAGAGGGAUUGUCUUGGAGCAACGAUUUGCCUUGUAAUCCUCGGCGCGGUUCGGCCUGAUGCACAC